CCCUUAGAUGGUCUGGGCCGCACGCGCGCUACACUGAUGCAUUCAACGAGCCUAUCCUUGACCGACAGGUCCGGGUAAUCUUUGAAUCUGCAUCGUGACGGGGAUAGAUUAUUGCAAUUAUUAAUCUUCAACGAGGAAUGCCUAGUAGGCGCAAGUCAUCAGCUUGCGUCGAUUACGUCCCUGCCCUUUGUACACACCGCCCGUCGCUCCUACCGAUUGGGUGUGCUGGUGAAAUGUUCGGAUCGGCCGUUUGUCGCGGUUUCCGCGUCAUGUGGCUGAGAAGUUCAUUAAACCCUCCCACCUAGAGGAAGGAGAAGUCGUAACA
rnacentral:rRNA from 1 species